GACGAACCGUGCGAACGUUAUUCGGAAUCACUGGGCUUAAAGCGCGUGUAGGCGGGCCGCCGCGUCGGCUUCUGAAAUCCCCCGGCUCAACCGGGGAACGGGCACCGAUACGGGCGGCCUCGAGGGGGGUAGGGGGGUCUGGAACUUCCGGUGGAGCGGUGAAAUGCGUUGAGAUCGGAAGGAACGCCCGUGGCGAAAGCGAGGCCCUGGACCCUUACUGACGCUGAGACGCGAAAGCCAGGGGAGCGAACGGG
rnacentral:rRNA from 1 species